rnacentral:lncRNA from 1 species
AGUCUUCAUGAUUACGUAUUUGUUUCCUCAAACAUGCUGCUGAGCCUCUUUUCUUUUUGAAAAAUCCUGAUGAAAACAAAAACAUAUGAAAUUGAAAUGAUGAAUGGUGUGAACAUGAAGGAAUCUCAGAUUUCAUGACAUAUUAACAAAAGAGAGUAUACCAAUCACCUACAACCAUAUGGGGUUUAGGGGGUUCAAGUCACCAAGGAACUAAAGUGGAAAAGCUACUGUUGGGCUCCUAAUUGUUUUUUGUGGAGGGGUGGGGUGGGGGGUUACCAAAUCAGAAAAAAGACAUAAGGAAGUAAGUAAUCCCUUGUGGAAAGUACGAAGAAUGCCAGGAGGGACAUGACACUGAUUUCCUUUCUUCAUUACUGCGGACUUUUCGAAGCUGUUUAUGUUCAAGCUGUCUUUUGACAUAAUUCUCGGUUUGGUUCUCUCUUAUGAAUUUAUUAUUCUUUCAGGCCUAGCUUGCAUGACAGUUAUGUUUAUUACGACAUUUCUCACGGCGCUUGUCAUAAUCUUUGUGUGGAAAAGAAGUGUAGCACUUGCCACUUCCUUUCUCCUUUUAUUCUGGCGCAUCGAAGGCGUCUACCUGUCUUCCGCAUUCAUCAAGAUUCCACAGGGAGGAUGGGUCUCCCUUGUGCUCUCGUUUGUUUUCUUGGCUAUCAUGUUUGUCUGGCACUAUGGAACUCGCAAGAAGUACAACUUUGACCUGCACAAUAAAGUUCCACUGAUAAGUGGCACCUUAUAAUGCAUGUGUUGCCAUCAGAUAUUCUAUAAAAAAUAUCCGAAAAAGUGGAUGCUUGAAGUCAUAGAACUCGCAGUUGAAUUUGAGUAUAUCUUUUAACUAAGAAAUGCUUAACUUUGGCAGUUAUAUCAUCAAUAUCAGGGAUCCAGGCUGCUAUGGUAGGUAUACUUUUGAUAUACCCCUUGCAGAAAUUGACGACUUUUUAGGUAGUCAACAUCUUACUUCUGUCUGAGGCAUUGACCAUUCAUGCAUCUUUCUUCGUAGGUGGUGUGCUACUUCUUUCUUGCAUAAUACUGGUUGGCCUGUUUGCUCUACAGCAUUCUGGAACCCACAGGGUUGGAUUCUUGUUUGCACCUAUAGUGACUAUUUGGUUGAUAUCUAUUUUUGUCAUUGGGCUGUAUAAUACUAUAUUUUGGAAUCCCAAAAUUGUAUUUGCUCUUUCUCCAUAUUAUGUCAUCAAGUUCUUUAAGGAAACUGGGAAAGAUGCUUGGAUUUCUCUAGGAGGUGUGCUCCUCUCAAUUGCAGGUACCGUACAUAUAUGACUCUAAUACAGUAUUUCUUUAUUCAAGUAUAUGCCGCGUAGCGGCCUUUUCGUGGAACCUCUUACUAUUUGUUGAAGGAGAUGCUAUAAAAAUCUCCUAGAGUUGGGAUCCAGUUUCUAAUUCAUAUUUCUACCAUCAGGUACAGAAGCUAUGUUUGCAGAUCUUGGUCAUUUCACUGCCUCCUCAAUGAGGGUAAGUCGAGCAUUUUGCAGCAACAAACACAAAAACUAUCCUUCAGGAGAAUGUUCUGUUCUAAUUCUUUUUUUGGCUUAGCAAAUACUCUUUUUCUAGAAGAUCCUGAAUGCAGAUUAAACUAGUUGGAUUAUGCGGCAAUGGUAGGAACAUGUUUUAGGUGCAUAUAUACAGCUGGUUAUAAGUCAUCAUGGCAUUGGGAAAAUGAGCUCCAUUUUGUGUUAAAUAAAUAGGGUUUGAAACUAUCGAGACUCUGAUUUAGUAUUUCGUUUUCUUUUGAGCAUAGAGGGACUUAGAUAACAUUAUUAACAUAAGUUUGAAAUCCAUCUGAAGUAGCUUUGAGGAAUACUGAGUCUAAGAUUUGGAAUUCAUAUUAAUUGCUAAAAGUAAAACAUUUGGAAUCCAUAAUGAGCGGAAACAUAUAGAAUAGCAUGGACAACUGGAGCCAAAUGGUUCUUAUUCCACCAAACGAGUAAACUGUCCUAGUGGUUAGCAGAUUAUAUUGCAUAUAUGAUUACUGGAUUCGAGGAACUUGCACCAAGUUGACUGAACUUUUUCUCUUAUGCAGAUAGCAUUUCCAUUUUUUGUAUACCCUUGCUUGGUGGUACAGUACAUGGGUCAAGCUGCUUUCCUGUCCAAAAACAUUGCUUCUAUUCCAAAUAGCUUCUAUAAUUCCAUACCUGGUUGGUUCCUUUUCAGAUAUUUGUCUGAUUAUUCUCAAGAUUUUUUGAUUAUUUAAGUUCAAUCCUACUAAACUGCUGCUCUUUGAUUCUCUUGCAGACAUUGUAUAUUGGCCUGUCUUUGUUAUCGCUACCCUUGCAGCCAUUGUUGGUAGUCAGGCUGUAAUCACUGCUACAUUCUCCAUCGUUAAGCAAUGUAAUGCACUGGGUUGCUUCCCACGGGUCAAGAUUGUCCACACUUCAAAGCAUAUUAAAGGGCAGAUCUAUGUCCCAGAAAUAAAUUGGAUCCUAAUGAUUCUGAUCCUUGCUGUCGCUGUUGGGUUUCAGGACACCACUUUAAUUGGGAAUGCAUAUGUUAAGCCUACUAGUCUUUUGACAAUCUCUAUUCUAAUUCUUCAAAUUCCACUGUAUGACACUGCCUUCCUACAUUUCAUUCUCAUAGAAAGUAGACUAAUCCCCAUUAAAAGAUCUCCGCAACUAUCCCAAUUAUAUCACCCUCAGAAGUAGUUGAAUUUUUCUUAUGCAUCUGUCAGAGCUGUGGUAGUAUUAUAUUUAUUGGUAUGCAGGUGAAGAAAUAGAAUGUUGACGUAUCGAACAUUAAGCCGUCCAAUGUGCCUGAGCUAUAAUGUUCACAAGUAAUUCUGUUUGCCAAAUAUUUCUGUUAUACCUGAUUACUCUUCAUGAUUGUGUAUUUGUUUCCUCAUUUUCUUUCUGCAUUACUGCAGAUCUUUCGAAUAAUUCAUCUUGCUGUUUAUAUUCAAGCUUUCUUUUGACAUAAUUCUUGGUUUGGUUCUCUCUUAUGAAUUUAUUUUUCUUUCAGGCUUAGCUUGCAUGACAGUUAUGUUUAUUACGACAUUUCUCAUGGCGCUUGUCAUAAUCUUUGUGUGGCAAAGAAGUGUAGCACUUGCCACUUCCUUUCUCCUUUUAUUCUGGCUCAUCGAAGGUGUCUACCUGUCUUCCGCAUUCAUCAAGAUUCCACAGGGAGGAUGGGUCUCCCUUGUGCUCUCGUUUGUCUUCUUGGCUAUCAUGUUUGUCUGGCACUAUGGAACUCGCAAGAAGUACAAUUUUGACCUGCACACUAAAGGUCCAUUGAAAUGGCUCCUUGGCUUGGGCCCCAGCCUUGGUAUCGUUCGUGUGGCACGGAUAGGGCUGAUAUACUCUGAAUUGGCAACAGGAGUCCCAUCUAUCUUCUCUCACUUUGUCAGAUAUGGUUACAAGGACAUACAGCGAGAUGAUGGGAAUUUUGAGGACCUUCUCAUCCAGAGUAUAGCAGAGUUCAUCCAAAUGGAAGCAGUCGAGCCACAACUGUCAAGCUCUGAGAGUCCAUCAUUUGACGGGAGGAUGGCAGUUAUAAGCACGAGAAGUGUACAGUCAGGCUCAAUGUUACUUGUCUCAGAGGAGGUUUUGGUAUUAGUAAUUCCAUUCAAAGCAGCAAAUCUUUAACCCUCCAGAGACUAAGAUCUGCUUACGAUGAUGAGAACCCACAGAUGAGGAGGCGCCGAGUAAGGUUCCGCUUGCCAGAAAACCCAGGCAUGGAUCCAGCUGUUAGGGAUGAGCUUUCAGAUUUAAUUCAGGCAAAAGAGGCAGGGGUCGCAUAUAUUAUGGGGCACUCUUACGUGAAGGCGAGGAGAUCAUCUUCUUUCUUGAAGAAGCUUGUUAUUGACAUUGGAUAUUCAUUUCUGCGCAAAACAUUGUAAUGGCCCCGCUGUGGCACUUAAUAUUCCUCACAUUAGUCUCAUUGAAGUUGGCAUGAUAUACUACAUCUAGGGUCUAGAGGGAAGACGGUUGGCCAUGGACGAGUUUUUUAUUUGUCACACCUCUCCAGUUGUUGCCUGCUGAAUGUUUCGUGGGGUAGUCUUAUGGCUAAUAUUGUGAUCCUCUGAUAGAAUAUGUUGUGUAAGGCCAUUUAAAUUUUUUCGUAUUCAGCACAUUGAGUAGUUGUAUGUAUAUAGGCAUUAUAUGCGGGCUUUGAUGACUUAGUAUGCUGGAAAUACACCCUGGAUAUGAGCAGGCACAUAUGUUUCAGCUCAGACUCAUUUUUAUUGCCACAAAGUAAAAUAAAGUAGUCUUUGUUUGUAUUUAUUUAGUUUUUCCAUUUCCAUAAUUCCCUUAUAGUUUAAUUAAAUUUUCCAACUCAAGAAUCACAACGAGGGAUGAAGGAAUUUGUUGCAGAGAUUGUAAGCAUAGGUCGUAUCCAACACAGAAAUUUAGUACCACUUUUAGGAUAUUGCAGGCGAAAAGGAGAGUUGCUUUUGGUUUAUGAAUACAUGCCUAAUACUUAUUCGACCAACCAAAAUUUACCCUCAAUUGGAACAAAAGGUUUAGAGUCAUUAGAGGCGUAGCAUCAGGACUAUUUUUCCUACACGAAGAAUGUGACCAUGUAGUGGUUCAUCGAGACAUUAAGGCUAUUGGAUGUUGAACUAAAUGGAAGGUUCAGGAGACUUUGGCCUCGCGAGGCUAUAUGGUCAUGGAACCGAUCCUCACUCUACUCGUGUCGUUGGUACUCUUGGUUACCUUGCACUAGAGCAUACUAGAAGAGGCAAGGCAACACCUAGUAGUGAUGUAUUUUCCUUCGGAGCUUUUCUACUUGAAGUUGCCUGUGGUAGGAGGCCGAUAGAGCCAAGACAAGACAAUGAUGAUCUAAUUUUGGUUGAUUGGGUGUUCUCGUGCUGGAAUAGGGGCUAAUAUUCUUGAGGCUGUUGAUCUAAACAUAGGCAGAUAUUUUGUUCAAGGGCAAGUGGAGUUGGUCUUAAAGUUAGGCUUGUUAUGCUCUCAUUCAGAGCCUUCGUUUAGGCCAACCACACAACAAAUCCUGUUGUGGCCAUACCAGAGUUAUCAGCACUUGGCGUUUCAUCAGCUGGCCUGACAUUUGACCAUCGCGGUGGUUUUAAUGAUUUUGUCAUGUCAUAUCCAUCGUCUUUGGAUAAUGCACAUUCCCGCUGUCUAUCAGUAAGAUACUCCCUUCUCUCUGAAGGCCGAUGAUUCAUGAUGAGUUGGAUAGAAUUUCUUGGAGGAAUACUGAUUUAUUGAGCCUGGUAAAUAUGACCUAGGAUUAUGUACUUCUGAUGAAUUAGAGUAUAUUACAGUGGAAUACUAUUAACCUUUUUUCCGUAUCCAGAAUUCAACACUUGAAACAAUGUAUUGAGAAAUGUCCAAGAUAUCAGCCAUGGUAUCCUGAUUUUAUUGAACAGUUGAAACAAUGUAUUGAACAGUUUCAUGAACAUUCGACAGGAAAAUAAUUCAGACGAAAUAUAGAGAGAUAAGUAAAAUGGAUCGCCAACUACAACGAACCUCCACCUCUAUUUUCAUCUCAAGCGGAAGCAACAUUAGAAGGGAACAACUAUGUUAUGUUAUAGUAUCAACAUAUUAGCUAAUUUCCAAACAUAUAUGUCCACAUAGAGGUUAAAUGAACUCAGAAUGAAAAACCAAAACAGAUAUUAGGAGCCAAGCAGAUAUUCUCGAGAGCUGAUUUUUACAUUCAUAAAGAGAUUAGCCCUAAUUUCGUCAACAAAAACACAAGGUCUAAAAUAGAUACUAACAUUUUUUAACUAGUAAUUCUAGAAUAGCCCACGUACUCCUUAAGCACCAUCUUCCUCAUUGUUUCCUCCUGCACGAUGGUAUUUGAUUGCUGCCUUUUGGACUUUUUUGGCGGAGAGACCAUAGCGAUGGGGGCACCUCUGUUUGUGAUUCUCCAGCUCCUCAGCCGCUUGCACCCUGACCCCACAAUUCUUGGUGCAGACAACAGUGAUCUCAGGAUGAGCUUUGGUGACAUGCUUCAACAGCAAAUCUGCAGAACGGAAUCGCAAUGAGCACUCUUCACCUUCACAGAUAUACGCUACCUUUGCUAACUUUUUUCCCAGAGGUUUGGUUGCCAUUCUCAACAGAAAGGAAAGUAGAGAAGUGAAAUGCACAGUGAAUUGAAGCGUGAUUAAACCCUAUAUACGGGGUUUUUUAUUUUAUUUUUAACCCCCCGUAACUUUCUAACUUUGCAGGAAGGGGGCUGCAAAGUUAAACCAAGUUCGAU